AUUGAACGCUGGCGGCAGGCCUAACACAUGCAAGUCGAACGGUAGCAGGAAGAAGCUUGCUUCUUUGCUGACGAGUGGCGGACGGGUGAGUAAUGUCUGGGAAACUGCCUGAUGGAGGGGGAUAACUACUGGAAACGGUAGCUAAUACCGCAUAACGUCGCAAGACCAAAGAGGGGGACCUUCGGGCCUCUUGCCAUCAGAUGUGCCCAGAUGGGAUUAGCUAGUAGGUGGGGUAACGGCUCACCUAGGCGACGAUCCCUAGCUGGUCUGAGAGGAUGACCAGCCACAAUGGAACUGAGAAACGGUACAGACUCCUACGGGAGGCAGCAGGGGGGAAUAUUGCACAAUGGGCGCAAUCCUGAUGCAGCCGUGUCGCGUGUGUGAAGAAGGCCUUCGGGUUGUAAAGCACUUUCAGCGGGGAGGAAGGGGGAAUGGUUAAUAACCAUUGUCAUUGACGUUACCCGCAGAAGAAGCACCGGCUAACUCCGUGCCAGCAGCCGCAGUAA
rnacentral:rRNA from 1 species